rnacentral:rRNA from 1 species
UACGAAGGGGGCUAGCGUUGUUCGGAAUUACUGGGCGUAAAGCGCACGUAGGCGGAUAUUUAAGUCAGGGGUGAAAUCCCGGGGCUCAACCCCCGGAACUGCCUUUGAUACUGGAUAUCUUGAGUUCGGAAGAGGUAAGUGGAAUUGCGAGUGUAGAGGUGAAAUUCGUAGAUAUUCGCAGGAACACCAGUGGCGAAGGCGGUUCUCUGGGCCUUACCUGACGCUGAGGAGCGAAAGCGUGGGGAGCGAACAGG